UCCAACCUUGUUCUAAUUACUUGCUACCAAGUUUUCACACCUAGAGGCACAACUAUGUACUAAUGAAACUUUGGGGUCAGAUGAAUUCAAAUUUGAAUUGUAUGACUGGUCUCACUCCCACUCUUGUGGCUACAGAUGGGCUAGAUCCCGUGACUGAGCAAAAGGGGAGAGAGAAGGAAGUGGUUUCUCUCAAAGAUAAAGUGUUUAUCUCUGAGCAGAUAAACACAAGCCCAUUCUGUACUAGAUCAGGAGAGAGAAUGUUGGUUCAAAUCUAAGAUGCAGAGCAGAUUGGUUAAGGACUAAGUUAGUUGAUCAUUUCCUAAGACAAGACUAGGACUAGCAGCAAAGGUGGUAUGGAUACUAUCAAGAUGAGAGGAGAAGUGGACAAACUGAAAACUAGUUCAAGGUCUAACUUUACAAACAUGACCUACCCACUGUGGCAUCCCUCUUACGCUUAGCCUGAUGUGCUUUGGUAGAGGAAGCACCACCCAUAUGAGUCUGCAUUUGCCAAAGGUGCCUUAGAAGAAAGGGAAAGAACUGGAACAGGUCAGCAAGUCCCAUGCUAAUGGGACUCAUGUCAAGCUGGGUCAAGUUGGGGUGUAGAUCUCUCAUUGAGAGCUAAAGCAUGGCGCUAAAAUAAGGGAAAGCAGAGACAUAGAAAACAAUCAAAUCUGAAGAAACCAGAGGAUGGAGAUGGAGGCUGUAGAACAAGGUGGGAAUGGAAGCUGGUGGAGAACAAUAAGGUCCUGCUGAGGAUCCCUGGUGCCCAGUAGGGAACACCGUGAGGAGGAGGAUUAAGAAAGGCACCCUUUCCACUGAUUUGCAUCGCCAUUUGUACAUGGAGUUUGGCUACAGCAAAAUCCGUUGCUAUCUCACCAGCUACAAGAAGCAAAGAACGAAUUGCAAUUCAUUUUUGUGCUCUAGGACCCGGUUGAGGAACACACCCUUCAAAGUGCUAAUGCUGUUCCAGCUCAGCAGACACCUCGUCUCGGGAAAGCCAUUAGAAACCCCCAAAAUACUACAUUUUUCUCCUGAGCUUUGAACCCUGAACCCAGCAUUCUGAGAGUGGGAACCAGAAAUGUGCAUUUGAAAAGACUCCCCAGGCAAUUCUGAUGAGGAGCCAGUGAGCCUGCUGAACCAGGUGACUACUGACAUCUCUUCUUUGAGUGACUUUCGACCAUCCCACAAAUGUCUGCUCGACGGUGUCCUGGAAGAGCUGGGUCAUGGCUCUCAUUACACACUACUCAGCAUCAUACACCAGGUUGUAUCACACAUCUCAUUCACACUACUGAGCAUCAUACACCAGGCUGUAUCACACUUUGUCCGGACUUCAUGAGUCUUCCAGUACAGUGAUGGGACGUAGGUUUUCUAGACUUGCCUAUGGGCUUCUCCUCUUUCCUAAUGAAGCUUCCACUCAUCCAAACGUCCUUUGAGGAGGAAAUUUAUCCAACUCACUCCACUGCAAAAGCUGGAGAACUGACAAGAUUCUUCCUGACCACUUCAGUGGCUAUGAUUAUAGGCAGUAUUGUGGUUUUCAUUUGCAAAAUGAGGAAUAAAGCUGCAGACAUUUCCAGUACUAGAAAUGGUCUGUUUGUAGCAUGAAGGUGCAUAUUCAUUUCUUUUUCUUUUUUCCUGACCCUUAAUCAUUUAUUACAUUUUUCUCCUGUUAAACAAGCUAUAUAGGCUGAAUACAAAGAAGUUUGAAAACACAGAAAGGUAAAAAAAUUAAAUUAAAUUAAGAUCAUCUGAAAUGUUAACUUCAAGAGAAAGUUAACAACUGUGAGCAUUCUGGUUUGUAUAUUCUUGCAGUCUUAUUUAAUUAAUUGCAUUUAUGUACUUUAAAAAAAGUAGAAUUAUAUUGUAUAUAUGGCUUUGAUUUCUUAAAAAUUAACAUUGUGAACAUGUGCAAGGAGUGUUUCUUAAAUUGCUCUUUCCAUUGUCACUUUUACUGGAGAUUAAAGUCUCAAAGUACAUUUUUUGACUUAGCAGAGGGAGAGCUGAGAUGUCUCAUUAAAGCUUGGCCGAGCGCCUUCUGUUACUGCUUAUUUACAUAAGUAGCUUUCCUAAAAUCAACGGCUCCCAUGAACAAGACAUAUAUAUUAAUGCCUCACAGUCCAAUAUAUGAUGAGAUAAAUGACCACUGCUUCCUUAUAUAAUGCGCACACACUUGCCUGAGACAAGUCAGCUGUUCUGAAACACAAGAUUAGGAAAUUCAAUUUCAUGUAUACAUUUCCAUGAAUCAAAAGUCAAAAUCAAAGGACAACCUUCUGUGUUACAGUGAACUCUGGAAGUAAGUGUAAAUAAGAUAAUAAGAUAUGCCCUACUUUGUUGUCAUCUUUUUUUUUUUUUUUGCUUUUUGUUUUUUGUUUGUUUUGAG
rnacentral:lncRNA from 1 species